GUUGGCAUCUCCCCUGACAGGGACGGGAACAGCCUUCGGGCUUACCUGUUACCAACACAUACGGUUAAGGCUACCCGCCUCUCAGGUGGAUCUCUAACCCAAUUUUUUUUGUUCUUUCAAUACAAUGUCGUGUCAUAUCAUGAUGACAUCUUUUGAGGCUUGGGAGGCUGUUUGGUACGGCAAGCAAUGAAAUUGAGCUUCAAGUUGCCAGAUCAUCAUUUAAGGAGAUUGCCAAGUAGUCUCUCUUAAUUGGAUAUCCAGGAUAUCAUCAGAGAUGAUAAGCUUUAUUUUUCAGCCCUUGAUCGGUUUUCCU
rnacentral:misc_RNA from 1 species